AUCCAGCUGACGAGUCCCGAAUAGGACGAACCGCGCAUCCUGCAU
rnacentral:hammerhead_ribozyme from 1 species